CCUACGGGAGGCAGCAGUGGGGANUAUUGGACANUGGGGGCAACCGUGAUCCACCAAUNCCGCGNGUGUGAAGAAGGCCUUCGGGUUGUAAAGCACUUUCAAUAGGGAGGAAAAGUUAUGCGUUAAUAGCGUAUAGCCGUGACGUUACCUAUAGAAGAAGCACCSGCUAACUCCGUGCCAGCAGCCGCGGUAAUACGGAGGGUGCAAGCGUUAAUCGKAAUUACUGGGCGUAAAGCGCGCGUAGGCGGUUUAUUAAGUCAGAUGUGAAAGCCCCGGGCUCAACCUGGGAAUUGCAUUYGAGACUGGUAGGCUAKAGUGUGGUAGAGGUGAGUGGAAUUUCAGGUGUAGCGGUGAAAUSCGUASAGAUCUGAAGGAACAUCMGUSGCGAAGGCGACUCACUGGGCCAUUACUGACGCUGAGGUGCGMAAGCGUGGGUAGCAAACAGGMUUAGAUACCCUGSUAGUCCACGCCCUAAACGAUGUCAACUAGGUGUAUGGAGAAUUUAUUCUUUNNGUAUCGAAGCUAACGCGAUAAG
rnacentral:rRNA from 1 species